rfam:Cavia porcellus supercont2_2 genomic scaffold, whole genome shotgun sequence.
ACAAAGGCUCUUUUCAGAGCCAACCACGGCGGCACUUGAAGGGCUG